UCGUGGUUAGCUCGGUUGGUAGAGCGCUCCACUGGAAAUGGAGAGGUCCCUGGUUCGAUACCUAGACCAGGCGAA
rnacentral:tRNA from 1 species